UACGUAGGGGGCGAGCGUUGUCCGGAAUUAUUGGGCGUAAAGGGCUCGUAGGCGGUUUGUCGCGUCGGGAGUGAAAACACCGGGCUUAACUCGGUGCUGGCUUUCGAUACGGGCAGACUAGAGGUAUGCAGGGGAGAACGGAAUUCCUGGUGUAGCGGUGAAAUGCGCAGAUAUCAGGAGGAACACCGGUGGCGAAGGCGGUUCUCUGGGCAUGUCCUGACGCUGAGGAGCGAAAGUGUGGGGAGCGAACAGG
rnacentral:rRNA from 1 species